rfam:Triticum aestivum genome assembly, contig: Triticum_aestivum_CS42_TGACv1_scaffold_049694_1BS
GUUCUACUCCCUCCGCUCUGAAUUACUUGUUUUGGAUUUGUCUAGAUACAGAUGUAUCUAGACCCAUUUUAGUGCUAGGUACAUCCGUAUCUAGAUAAAUUUAAGACAAGUAAUUCGGAACGGAGGGAGUAUUAA